rnacentral:lncRNA from 1 species
GUCUGUCUGGCCUUAAUUGGUGGCUGGGUGUUCUUAGACAGCAAGUUAGAUUAUGGUCUGGUAACCGACCGCUAUGAAAAAAAAAAAAAGUGAGGCAGAUCUACUGCAACAUAGUGUUAACAGGUUUUGAUGAAGUGUGGCAGGAGUAAUAGGCAUGUUUCUGGAAGCUUCAGAAAUUUUUGCUAAAAAAUGCUCUAAAAUGAGAAAUUUGGAGUUUUAGGAAGAAGUUGAAAUCUCUUGUCAGUCAUAAUUUCUUUAAAGAAUACUCCUCCACAGCUUUUACUUUGGAGACAAUUCCCCCCUCCCCCCCCCCCCCCCUUGAGUUCAUGACUUUGCAAGCUUCUGUGAUGCACUGGCAUGCUUCCUGACACCAACUAACCCUUUCUGCUUUGAUUCAUUAGGACUUGCUUCCCUUCAGAGCUGCCAAUGAGAGAAGAUGACAGUUCCUGAAGCCUCUUGGAGCAGGAACACGGAUCUGACCACAAAAGGGUGUGACAGCAGGGCAAGGCUGUAGCCAUGGGGUUGCAGAAUCCAGUCCCUGGAAAACGGAUUGGCAGAAGGAUACUGACAGUGCGAGUCCCACCUUGCUGCUGCAGGACAGAACGAUUCAUUGUGGUGGUCCCCAGUGCGCAUGCAUACUAACAGACAUACACAUGCAAUUGGCGGUUCUUUUUAACUGUGGUUAACUGAAUGUCAGUAUACAAUAAGCAAUUACUGACAAGUUAGUGUUUGGAACUCUUUAUUAUUUAUGUGAUCUAACUUAAGUAGCCCUGCUUGGAGGAAAUUGGAAAGAGUGGACUAGAGGGAUCCUCAGAGUUCCUUUCCAAUCUGGUUGCUUCUACAGGUCUGUGAUUCUCUGAAAGGUGAAUUGGUUUUAUUUUCAUCUGAAAUGUAGUCGUCAGUGUACUAUAUGUGAUAUUUCCAUAAGAAUACUUACUUGGUAUAUGCUAUUGAGACACCAUUGUAAUAUAAGAAUAAUAUUUGACGUGCACUUGAGUUAGUAUAUUUCAGUACAAACUUAGUGGUUUAGAAAUUACUUUAUUUGCAAAAAUGAUAGAAAACAUAUUAUUCUUGGAAAAGUUUGGAGCUAAAAAUUCAUUGAACUGCUAUCAAAUUGCAUUAGGUAUUUGCUGACCUGAAACAAACAAACAAACAAACAAACAAAAAACCUA